rnacentral:tRNA from 1 species
GCCCCGGUAGCUCAGUGGAUAGAGCACUCGCCUCCUAAGCGAGGGGUCGCAGGUUCAACUCCUGCCCGGGGCGCCA